AUUUAUAUAAUAUAAAAUAUUAUAAUUGAUUUCCAAUCAAAAAAUCUAAAUAAAUUUAGUAUAAAUA
rnacentral:tRNA from 1 species